rnacentral:rRNA from 1 species
AGUGAACGCUGGCGGUAGGCCUAACACAUGCCAGUCGAACGGCAGCACAGUAAGAGCUUGCUCUUACGGGUGGCGAGUGGCGGACGGGUGAGGAAUACAUCGGAAUCUACUUUUUCGUGGGGGAUAACGUAGGGAAACUUACGCUAAUACCGCAUACGACCUACGGGUGAAAGCAGGGGAUCUUCGGACCUUGCGCGAUUGAAUGAGCCGAUGUCGGAUUAGCUAGUUGGCGGGGUAAAGGCCCACCAAGGCGACGAUCCGUAGCUGGUCUGAGAGGAUGAUCAGCCACACUGGAACUGAGACACGGUCCAGACUCCUACGGGAGGCAGCAGUGGGGAAUAUUGGACAAUGGGCGCAAGCCUGAUCCAGCCAUACCGCGUGGGUGAAGAAGGCCAUCGGGUUGUAAAGCCCUUUUGUUGGGAAAGAAAAGCAGCAGGUUAAUACCCCGCUGUUCUGACGGUACCCAAAGAAUAAGCACCGGCUAACUUCGUG